ACAGCAGUUUUAAUAUACUAAUUGUUAGCACUUAAGAAGUCAUAUUCAUGUCUCAUUAAAUCAACUGUACACACAGUACUGUCCAACUUCUAUCUGUGGACAUGUUGCUAUGGUGUUAACAUAUGCACAAAAUACAGCCUAAUGCCUUGUUAUCAACUAGCAUUGCUUACAGUGGCUACCCUGGCUAGAACUGGUAUUGCUAACAACAUGUUUUUCAAGUUUUCCAACUUGUACUGGAACGCUGUCAACUCUGAUGUGACGUCCAUCCCAGCUCCAACCUCCGACCUCUGAGGUACGUGGUCGAGAUCACACAUUUACUUACCAAGGCAGCCUCUCCAGUGUCAGUACAGAGGAAGAG